rnacentral:rRNA from 1 species
UGGGGAAUCUUGGACAAUGGGCGAAAGCCUGAUCCAGCAAUGCCGCGUGUGCGAUGAAGGCUUUCGGGUUGUAAAGCACUUUUAUCAGGGAAGAAAUGGUUCGAGCCAAUACCUCGGACUUCUGACGGUACCUGAAGAAUAAGCACCGGCUAACUACGUGCCAGCAGCCGCGGUAAUACGUAGGGUGCGAGCGUUAAUCGGAAUUACUGGGCGUAAAGCGUGCGCAGGCGGUUUACUAAGACAGGUGUGAAAUCCCCGGGCUUAACCUGGGAACUGCAUCUGUGACUAGUAGACUAGAGUUUGGCAGAGGGGGGUGGAAUUCCUGGUGUAGCAGUGAAAUGCGUAGAUAUCAGGAGGAACACCGAUGGCGAAGGCAGCCCCCUGGGCCACCACUGACGCUCAUGCACGAAAGCGUGGGGAGCAAACAGG